GUAUUUGUUAAGAUCUUGAAACCCAAAGAAUUUGGCGGCAUUUUAUUCUUUUCAGAGGAACCUGUCCCUUAAUCGACAAUCCACGAUUACUAUUUACUCUCUUUUGUUUUCAGUUUAUAUACCUCCGUUAUAGGGAUAUCUUUUUAGAGCUAAAUUUCCUUUUUAUUUAAGAAAUGGAUUUCAGGUCAAGGUGUAGCUUAUAAGGGAGUGGAGAUGGGUUACAAUGGAUUUAUUUAUCUAUACGAAUUUAUUUUUUUGUUUAAUAUUAAAGGUGGAUUUGAAAGUAAUUUUAUUUAUAUAGGUUUUUUGACUUAGGCUCUAAAAUGUGCACACAUCGCCCG
rnacentral:rRNA from 1 species